rnacentral:sRNA from 1 species
UGUGGAGCCAAUCCAUAAUAGCCCUCCUCAAUGGGAGCUGUUAAAGCCAAAGAAGUUUAGUAGUGGUCUUCGCCUCCGACGAUCAUAGAAUGGGACAACAAAGGUCCCCAUUUUUCUCAUGAGUCACUUGACGCAUUAGUCUGCGAAGACAGAGGCUGAAAGUAGGGAAACAGCAGUAAACGGAGGACUUCCAAGGAAGUUUCCAUGCUGCGAUUUAAGUGUGUACAUUGUAGGAGCGAUAAUGCCGUGCCUUGUUGAAGUUGCUGGACGAUAGGGGGGCGGAAUGUGAAAGGACGACAAUUCCGCCAGUCAUCCGAGGAGGGAACUGUCAGGUUCUGCUGUUGAGGUCGUUAAGUGGCGAUUUGAUGGAGAAUUUUCAGGAUGGGAAGGAGAAGAUAAGGAAGGUUGGAAGUGAUCUGGAGGAUGCGAACAUUCCUUGGGUCCUCCGAUGAUACGGAGCGAGAGAUUCAAAAAUCGAAAUGUAGCUGUAUGUGGAUAAGUUCGAGCACCUGGGUAAUGGUAAUUGUAGUAUCUUUAGGUUCCAACGAUAUAUUAAUAAUUCUGUAGAGAAGGAGAAUGAAUAAGAAA